UCAUAAUGGCCGCUUAUGUCCUUUUUACUAUUUAAAUGCGAAGAAUGCAUGCUAAUUUAUUUGAGUUGGUAGUUUCAGAUUAUUCUGCAUUUUGUAAAUUUUCCUGUUCAUAUUAAAUGCUCCGUUAGAAGGGAAGCCUUGACGCAAUGGUAAAGUUGUUGCCAUAUGACCAAAAGGUCACAUGUUCGAAUCCUGGGAACAAUCUCUUGCAAAAAGCAGGGUAAGACUGCAUACAAUGGAUCCUUCCUGGACCCGCAUGACGGGAGCUUCGUGCACCAGGCUGCCCUUUUGUUAAAUGCUCCGUUAACUUGUUUUCCUUGGUUUGUGAUAUGCUAACACAUCCAACGUGGACACUUGUAAAGCAAACCAAGACCCAUAGAAAUAAAGAUCAUAUCUUAUUUCUUUUGUGCACAACCGGCAUGCUAGAAUGAGAUUUCCAUGCAAAUUCCAUAAGAUUCAGAUAGGCAGACACUCAUUUUCCGAAAAGGCAGACACUCAUUUUCCGAAAAAAAAGUUUACAAAUAGGACUUUUACUUGCAACUCUUAUCAUCUGAAACUAUCAAUACAUGAAUCAUUAAAAUGGUAUCAAGUAGAUCUAGGAUGCCAUUCAUUAUUUCCUUAUUUUAGAUUUGAUUAUGGUGAUCAGAGACCUACGAUUUAGAGAAGAAUAAAUGUGUGGAUCAAAAAUUGUUUUGACAAUUACCAUUGGUUGGCUACAUUGUUCAUUGCCAAUCGCAAUGCCUAUUUGCUCCACCGAGCACGCCCCUUUCUAGAAUGGCAGUGCCAUUUGCUGCAUUGAGUAUUCUCAAGGAUGUUAAGUGUCAACUUAUGAUAAUAAUUUUAGCCUGAUCUGGCAACUCAGAAUAUAUCGUAGCCAAAAGGGGAUGGGCUGAGUUUACCCCACAAAAUGAGCAAGGAAAGAGUACACCAUGAUGCAACAGAAUAUUGUUACUAGACUAUUUGAGCACUGCUGUUCUAAAAUUAAAAUGUUGAAAUUCAUGAGUAAUGCAGUUAUAUAGCGCUUUAAUUAUUAGUUACUGCCUUUGAUUCACUAGAUUUGUUAAACUGGCUUUCCUGAAACAUCAUCACGUCCCUGGCAUUUUGAUUAGGCUACACUUUGGACUAAAGUUGAUGAGUUGAUCAAGUGCUUUGGAGGGGAGUAAAAACUUCUUUUUUGCUUCCUCAGAAGUUGGAAUAGACAGAUUUGAUUUCUAGUAUUUACUUUUGCUCAUAAAUGA